AAAGCACCCAAAGGCUUGCGAGAGGGAAUAAUGUGACCGGGAGGGGAAAGAAGCGGCUUGUGCCAAGAUGGUUAUAGCAACACUAUUCAUGCGGCUCAGAACUGGAGCCCUCCCAGGUGCCCAGCGAUGGGGAGCAGGGAAGCCAGCGGCCCAGAAGGCAGCUGCAUGGACCCCUGGGGUUAAACCAGAGGACAGGAGCUUGGCCCUCACCUGGCUGGGGAGAUGCAGGAAGGGGCAGCUGCUGCCCCGUCAGACAGUGGGGUUGUCCGUGGAGCAGGCUCCUCGCAGACCAGGGGCAUGCAGGCUGCUUGGCGCCCUCCUGAGCAAGACGCCCUGCUCUUCUAGAAAUCAGGGCCCUGCACCUUCACCAUGGAGCCACCCCUUCCAACAUGAGCUGCUCUGGGCAUGUUGGCUGCCCAGAUCCCAUGCGGAGGGGCCCUGAGGACAGCGGAGCAGCCACCCUCAUGAGGUACUGUCCACCACCCCGGGGUCAGGUUCCUCUCUGGCUGCUCUCUUGGAGGGAUCGUCUCUUCCAUGCCCCCAUCUGCCCCUCACCUGAGCCCACACAGAAACUUCUGGACCCAGCCUGGGGGUGGGGAGGCCUCGACCACCUGGUAGACCCCAACCCCAGUCCCUAGGGUGAUGGGCCAAUGGCCCCAUGACUGACGAGAAAAGUCUCAGCCUUCAAACCCAAGGGGCCUCCAGGGAAUCCAAGCUCACCUGGGGGUGUGCCUCUUUUUAAAUGUAAUUCCUUGAUUUGUGUUUUUAAAUCAAAA